GGUUGUCGUCAGCUCGUGUCGUGAGAUGUUGGGUUAAGUCCCGCAACGAGCGCAACCCUCGCCUCUAGUUGCCAGCAUCGGUUGGGCACUCUAGAGGGACUGCCGGCGACAAGUCGGAGGAAGGUGGGGAUGACGUCAAAUCAUCAUGCCCCUUAUGACCUGGGCUACACACGUGCUACAAUGGGCGGUACAAAGGGCUGCGAACCCGCGAGGGGGAGCGAAUCCCAAAAAGCCGCUCUCAGUUCGGAUUGCAUGCUGCAACUCGCCUGCAUGAAGCCGGAAUCGCUAGUAAUCGCGGAUCAGCAUGCCGCGGUGAAUACGUUCCCGGGCCUU
rnacentral:rRNA from 1 species